rnacentral:rRNA from 1 species
AUUGAACGCUGGCGGCAGGCUUAACACAUGCAAGUCGAGCGAGCGGCGGACGGGUGAGUAAUGUCUGGGAAACUGCCUGAUGGAGGGGGAUAACUACUGGAAACGGUAGCUCAUACCGCAUACCAUCAGAUGUGCCCAGAUGGGAUUAGCUAGUAGGGGGGGUAAUGGCUCACCAAGGCGACGAUCCCUAGCUGGUGUGAGAGGAUGACCAGCAACACUGGAACUGAGACACGGUCCAGACUCCUACGGGAGGCAGCAGGGGGGAAUAUUGCACAAUGGGCGAAAGCCUGAUGCAGCCAUGCCGCGUGUGGGAAGAAGGCCUUCGGGUUGUAAAGCACGUUAAGCGGGGAGGCGUUACUCGCAGAAGAAGCACCGGCUAACUCCGUGCCAGCAGCCGCGGUAAUAC